GGCCAUGACAUCAGUGAAGUACAUGAGAGUCAUGGUUCAUAGUUUAAAAGAAUUAUGAGAUUCUCUUAAAGUCACAAAGAGUUUAUUUAUGACAUAACUGACAGGCUAAUCUAUAAAGGAAGUCUAGCAAAUUAGAAGUAAUUCAGGAGAGUUUUAUAUACUGAAAAUUUGGGGCCUACCUAGCAGGCUAACAGACUACAAGAUUGUAAAUUAUAAAUGAAGAAUAAGGAAGAAGCCAAGAAAUCUUUUCAUCCAGAAGAGCUGUUUUUGAAACAAUCAUAUGAACUGUUCCUCUUUGAAGAUAACCCAAGGAAAUGGGAAACUGAGCUUUCGAAGCUUGGUGGGUCUGCAAGAGGAAUGUAUUUUGCAAGGCAAUGGCUCCUGUUCCAAGUUCUGACUGAUCAGCAAAAUGAACAAGGAAGUGGGGAGAGGAGCUGGAAAAGAAUAAGGACACUUCUGCCAUUUUCAUCUCUUUCACCAAAGAUCAUGAUGAUUUUCUUUCCAUAUGUUGAAGGUCAAGAUGAAAGAAAGAACACUCAGCUGUGUUUAACAGAUUAAAUCAAC
rnacentral:lncRNA from 1 species